UACGUAGGUGGCAAGCGUUGUCCGGAUUUACUGGGCGUAAAGGGUGCGUAGGUGGAUAUUUAAGUGAGAUGUGAAAUCCCCGAGCUUAACUUGGGGCCUGCAUUUCAAACUGGAUAUCUAGAGUGCAGGAGAGGAGAAUGGAAUUCCUAGUGUAGCGGUGAAAUGCGUAGAGAUUAGGAAGAACACCAGUGGCGAAGGCGAUUCUCUGGACUGUAACUGACACUGAGGCACGAAAGCGUGGGUAGCAAAC
rnacentral:rRNA from 1 species